GACGUAGGGCGCGAGCGUUGUCCGGAUUUAUUGGGCGUAAAGAGCUCGUAGGCGGCUUGUCGCGUCGUUCGUGAAAACCCAUGGCUCAACUGUGGGCUUGCGGUCGAUACGGGCAGGCUAGAGUUCGGUAGGGGAGACUGGAAUUCCUGGUGUAGCGGUGAAAUGCGCAGAUAUCAGGAGGAACACCGGUGGCGAAGGCAGCUCGCUGGGACGUGACUGACGCUGAGGAGCGAAAGCGUGGGGAGCGAACAGG
rnacentral:rRNA from 1 species